rnacentral:lncRNA from 1 species
GUUUUUUUUUUUUGAUAAAUGAGUGGCGGUGAGACUCGAGCCCAGACGCAUGUGUGCUCUGAUACUAUGUUACACUAUGUGACUAACUCAUCUAAAAGUUUAAGCUAUUAAAGAGAUCACAUAUUAAUUACUUAAUUAUUUUGUCUUCUACAUUAUAAUAGGCAAUAACAAACUCCUGAUUUGUUUCUACAUCAAUCAAGAAUGCAUGGAUAUACAUAUUUCAGUUCCAAACAGUAUUAUCCAAUCCCACUAACAGAAACUGGAACAUGCUCCCACCGGUUAUUUAUAGGAUAUGCAUCAAACAGUUACAGAAUUUGAAAUUGAAACAAUUCGUGCAAGUGAAAAAUGAAUGGUAAUCAGUGCUUGAGCUCCAUGUUAUACAAUUCAUUCAGAUCGAUGAUGCUGCUCUGAGGACCUCCAAACUAUAUACAGCUAAACCAUUACUGCCCUAUACCACCAACAAAAGCCAGAUUUACACUUACAUAUUCAACCCAUAGGUGAUAGGGCUAUUAUUGAGAUAUAAUGAAGCUGAAGCACUAGCUAAUCUAGCAAACUUUAGAAGUUAUUGACAAUAGUACUCCUCCAUCGGAUGCUAAGUGGCCUCUACUUACUCAACAUGGUUAAAUUAGUAGUCCUUCUGUCCCCAACUAUUAAACUGCCUCAUCUGGCCAACCACCAUUAUCAACAUGAAAAUUUGAAAUAUUAGUGUAUUUUUUUUAACAAAAACGAGGUCCAUUCUGGAAAGUGUAAGUCGUUCCUUUCCAUUUCAUUCAAUGAGACCGGAAAACACAUAAAUGAUUUGUUUUGUGGACAGUUUAUAUUAUUUCCAAAUCCAAAUGAGGCAGCGACAACAUUUUUUUCCUUUUCAGGAAGAAACAUUUUCGAAAAAUUCAAAAUUGAGGGUAAGACAAUUGAUUUGGGACAAAGGCAAUAUUAUUUGAAUGGAGGUAAUCAAUGUUACCUGAAUAAAGAGAUGAUACCCUUCGGUUUGGGCAGGAUCAGCAGGGUUUGGCUGAUCUAACAAGUCUUGGAUACCAACCAGUAUCUGUUUCACUGUAAUGGCUGGUCUCCACCCCUAUCCAUGAUAAACACAAAAUUAACAGCCGUCAUAUUUAGUAAAAAGAGACAACAAGAAGGAAAAUAGUACAGAUAAAUGGCACACUCCACAUACGCAGGUCUCCAACCCUAUCCAUGAUAAAAACAAAAUUAACAACCGUCAUAUUAGUAAACAGAGACAACAAGAAGGAAAAUGGUACAGCGAAAUGGCACACUCCACAUACGCUAUCUUCGUUGAGGAUCGACAAGCAAACUGUUCCUGAUGGAUACACAUUCGGGUGGAAGAAGCCUUGUGGGAAUUUGCACUUAGGUGGUUUGCUAGGAUAAUCUUCACUGAAGUGUAUCGUGACAUUCGGAUGGAAGAAGCCUUGUGGGAAUUUGCACUUAGGUGGUUUGCUAGGAUAAUCUUCACUGAAGUGUAUCGUAACCGGAUAAAAACCGCCUUCCCAGUCCGUCUGCAUGCACUCAAAAGGUGUUAUACUAACAACUUACAUGGUUAAGAAUCAGAAAAUGCUAAUGU